rnacentral:rRNA from 1 species
AGUGAACGCUGGCGGUAGGCCUAACACAUGCAAGUCGAACGGCAGCACAGGAAGAGCUUGCUCUUACGGGUGGCGAGUGGCGGACGGGUGAGGAAUACAUCGGAAUCUACUUUUUCGUGGGGGAUAACGUAGGGAAACUUACGCUAAUACCGCAUACGACCUACGGGUGAAAGCAGGGGAUCUUCGGACCCUGCGCGAUUGAAUGAGCCGAUGUCGGAUUAGCUAGUUGGCGGGGUAAAGGCCCACCAAGGCGACGAUCCGUAGCUGGUCUGAGAGGAUGAUCAGCCACACUGGAACUGAGACACGGUCCAGACUCCUACGGGAGGCAGCAGUGGGGAAUAUUGGACAAUGGGCGCAAGCCUGAUCCAGCCAUACCGCGUGGGUGAAGAAGGCCUUCGGGUUGUAAAGCCCUUUUGUUGGGAAAGAAAAGCAGCAGGUUAAUACCCCGCUGUUCUGACGGUACCCAAAGAAUAAGCACCGGCUAACUUCGUG